GGAAAGAUGGAGAUGCAAUUAAGAGGGUAUCUCCACUACUUUUGCUUGGUUUUGUUCGCUCAAUUCUUACAAAAGGGGUUGACUAUCAGGAUAUUGGGGCUUAUACCUUGCUAGUGUCAACGUAGGUUAUCAUCUCUAUUUCCUCAAAAAACCUAUCAGUGCUAGAAUUGUCUGUGUUGAUGACCAGUCAAGACUACUUAUUGAAGUGUGGCUCCUCUGUGGUUUAUUUUGGUAUGUUGUGCACAUCCAAAGAUGGGGACAUAGUCACAUAUCAAAUAGAUGUGUUAAUACUUAACGCUGAAUGAGAAUAUAUGCUUUAAAACUAUUAACUUUCGUUCAUUAACACCAAAGAUAUACUGAAUCUCUAAUUAUGCAUCUCAAAUAAACAGGGGAUUGACAAUCCUCUUCGAUCAAUUUGUGGAGAAAAUUUCACGUCGCAUGUGCAAUUUCACAUACACAUCGUUUGUUUUGGCAGUAAAUGCUGAGAUUUUAGUUCAUACCUAUGUGAAGGAUUAUUAAGACAUAUGAAGACAAAGAAGGGCAUGCAAAAUCAGAUUCAUUGCUAAAGAAUGUUUGUGUCUCGUGUGAUGAAUAUUGAUCAAUGGAAGAGUUGGUUAUAAGAGUUUCUAACAACAAGAUUUGGUUUGCUUUAUUACUUUGUUUACUCGGUUGAACUGGAUAUUUCAAAUUCUCUUCCUUAUGAUUUUUUUUAAAGGUUUGUGAUAGGUGAAAAGAGUUUGGAAGUAAUAGUUAUAUUAAAACUUGAUUUUGUGUUCAAAUACAUAUGUUUCUUUCCAACAUGCUAUUUUAUUG